GCGAAAGACGAGGAGCUUGCUCCUUUGACGUUAGCGGCGGACGGGUGAGUAACACGUGGGUAACCUACCUAUAAGACUGGGAUAACUUCGGGAAACCGGAGCUAAUACCGGAUAAUAUUUCGAACCGCAUGGUUCGAUAGUGAAAGAUGGCUCUGCUAUCACUUAUAGAUGGACCUGCGCCGUAUUAGCUAGUUGGUAAGGUAACGGCUUACCAAGGCAACGAUACGUAGCCGACCUGAGAGGGUGAUCGGCCACACUGGAACUGAGACACGGUCCAGACUCCUACGGGAGGCAGCAGUAGGGAAUCUUCCGCAAUGGGCGAAAGCCUGACGGAGCAACGCCGCGUGAGUGAUGAAGGUCUUCGGAUCGUAAAACUCUGUUAUUAGGGAAGAACAAACGUGUAAGUAACUGUGCACGUCUUGACGGUACCUAAUCAGAAAGCCACGGCUAACUACGUGCCAGCAGCCGCGGUAAU
rnacentral:rRNA from 1 species